rnacentral:rRNA from 1 species
AGUGAACGCUGGCGGCAUGCCUAACACAUGCAAGUCGAACGGCAGCACAGUAAGAUUUUGCCCUUACGGGUGGCGAGUGGCGGACGGGUGAGGAAUACAUCGCAUUCUACUUUUUCUUGGGUGAUUACGUAGGGACACCUACGCUAACACCUCAUAUGUCCUACGGGUGAAUUCAGUGGAUCUUGACACCUUUCGCGUUUGUUUGAGCCGAUGUCGGAUUAGCUAGUUGGGGGGGUAAAGGCCCACCAAGGCGACGAUCCGUAGCUGAUCUGAGAGGAUGAUCAGCCACACUGGAACUGAGACACGGUCCAGACUCCUACGGGAGGCAGCAGUGGGGAAUAUUGGACAAUGGGCGCAAGCCUGAUCCAGCCAUACCGCGUGGGUGAAGAAGGCCUUCGGGUUGUAAAGCCCUUUUGUUGGGAAAGAAAAGCAGCAGGUUAAUACCCCGCUGUUCUGACGGUACCCAAAGAAUAAGCACCGGCUAACUUCGUG